AGUGAACGCUGGCGGUAGGCCUAACACAUGCAAGUCGAACGGCAGCACAGUAAGAGCUUGCUCUUACGGGUGGCGAGUGGCGGACGGGUGAGGAAUACAUCGGAAUCUACUUUUUCGUGGGGGAUAACGUAGGGAAACUUACGCUAAUACCGCAUACGACCUACGGGUGAAAGCAGGGGAUCUUCGGACCUUGCGCGAUUGAAUGAGCCGAUGUCGGAUUAGCUAGUUGGCGGGGUAAAGGCCCACCAAGGCGACGCUCCGGAGCUUGUCUGAGAGGAUGAUCCGCCACACUGGAACUGAGAGACGGUCCAGACUCCUACGGGAGGCAGCAGUGGGGAAUAUUGGACAAUGGGCGCAAGCCUGAUCCAGCCAUACCGCGUGGGUGAAGAAGGCCUUCGGGUUGUAAAGCCCUUUUGUUGGGAAAGAAAAGCAGCAGGUUAAUACCCCGCUGUUCUGACGGUACCCAAAGAAUAAGCACCGGCUAACUUCGUG
rnacentral:rRNA from 1 species